GACGAACGCUGGCGGCGUGCUUAACACAUGCAAGUCGAACGGGCCUUGUCCCCUUUUUUUUUGGGGGUGGGGUUAGUGGCGAACGGGUGAGUAACACGUGAGUAACCUGCCCCUCACUUCUGGAUAACCGCUUGAAAGGGUGGCUAAUACGGGGUGUUCUGGCCUGCUCGCAUGGGCGGGUUUGGAAAGAUUCGACCGGUUUUGGUUGUUUUGGUGGGGGAUGGGCUCGCGGCCUAUCAGCUUGUUGGUGGGGUGAUGGCCUGCCAAGGCUUUGACGGGUAGCCGGCCUGAGAGGGUGGGCGGUCACACUGGGACUGAGACACGGCCCAGACUCCUACGGGAGGCAGCAGUGGGGAAUAUUGCACAAUGGGCGCAAGCCUGAUGCAGCGACGCCGCGUGAGGGAUGGAGGCCUUCGGGUUGUGAACCUCUUUCGCCAGUGAAGAAGGUCCUGCUCUUUGUGGUGGGGUUGACGGUAGCUGGGUUAAUGAAGCGCCGGCUAACUACGUG
rnacentral:rRNA from 1 species